UUAUUGUAUAUAAUAUAUGAAUAUUAAUUAAAAAUUGAUUUUAAUUUCAUUUUUAAUAAAAAUAUCCUCUUGUAUGUUAUCGCGCCCAUUACAGGACACAGACUGUGGAAGGUCCUGUCACAGGACCCGCCACAGGUGCGGUCACCUUGUUCAGUUUCGAGCAUAUUUUGACGUUCUUAUAGUUCUUACUCUUUUGCCCACAUGAAAAAUUGUGUUAGAAUGAACUGACUCUCGCUCUCAUAUAUAAUUUAGCACGUCUAUGUUACAAAAAAGUUUAAAUUUCUUGUUUUAAUCUGUGACAAGUUCAAUCAGCGAAUGUCGCGAUUUCACGAUUGUGUUUAUGCUGAACUUAGUAAGUUUUAGUGAUUUAAACUGGAAUAAUCAUGGAAUACAUGCAGAACGCCUUCACCCUUGCACCCAUCCGAGCAGAAGUACACACUCCUGCACAAUAUGAUUUUAUUAAGCCCGUAAAGCCAGACCGACUUAAGUGCCAAUGCGCCGUCUGCAAGAAGAGGACCAAUACAUUUUGUAAAGCUUGCAAUGUGGCAAUGUGUGUAUUCACUUGCUACGAGUCAUACCACAUUAAUUUUUAAUUUAAUUUUAGUCCGAAAAAAAAUACAGGGAUAAUUGGAAGGUGUUGAGGGAGGCCUUUUGCCAGCAGUGAGACAGUACAGGCUGUUAAUAAUAAUAAUAAUAGUCCGAAAACCUUCUACUGACACGACCAAAUUACAGUGUCAUGUACUGGGAUCCGUUAACAUACAUGUAUAAGUUGUAUCCAUACUAUAUAGCCUUCAUAGAGCAGAUAUGUUAAAUUUUUCACUAUGUUUAAUUACAUGGUUUUUGAUAUUUCUCUUCCAAACAUGUUAGCUUUUUUGUUGUUCUAUUUAAGUCCUAGUUCUAUGUAAAUCUUGAAUAAUUAAUAAUGAUAACUCUUCCAUCAACAUAAUUCUGCAAGAUCUUAGUCUUUAUGAGACAAUGUUUUUUGUACCAAAUUUGUCUCAUUUUUGAUACUUUCAUAAUCAGGAUUUGUUGAAUAUUGCAACGUGUCAUUAUUUAAACUAGCUUGACAAUAAGUUAAAAUUAUUGUAAACAAAAAAUGCUUUGUCCCUGACGCCAGCAAUGUAUUAUUAACUAGCGAGAUAUAAGACCCACUAAAGUGACUUUUGAAGAGGUGCUUUUUUGGUCCCAAGUUUAAAAACAAGUGUACUGAAAAAAAAAUGUAUAGAACAUAUGCCAUUUGUUUUUUAACUGUAUUAUAUAUGUUAGAGUGUAUAAAAAAAAUAAAAUAUUACAUCCA